rnacentral:rRNA from 1 species
AACGAACGCUGGCGGCAUGCCUAACACAUGCAAGUCGAACGAGACCUUCGGGCUUAGUGGCGCACGGGUGCGUAACGCGUGGGAACCUGCCCUUAGGUUCGGAAUAACUCCCCGAAAGGGGUGCUAAUACCGGAUAAUGUCUUCGGACCAAAGAUUUAUCGCCUUUGGAUGGGCCCGCGUUGGAUUAGCUAGUUGGUAGGGUAAAAGCCUACCAAGGCGGCGAUCCAUAGCUGGUCUGAGAGGAUGAUCAGCCACACUGGGAGUGAGACACGGCCCAGACUCCUGCGGGAGGCAGCAGUGGGGAAUAUUGGACAAUGGGCGUAAGCCUGAUCCAGCAAUGCCGCGAGAGUGAUGAAGGCCUUAGGGUUGUAAAGCUCUUUUACCCGGGAUGAUAAUGACAGUACCGGGAGAAAAAGCUCCGGCUAACUCCGU